UUGACAAUUACGAAAUAAUAGGCAGAUUGCACGCAAUACACAUUGCGUCGAAGUAGGCGGAAAUUAUGAAAUUAAUUACUAAAUAUGAUAAGGUAUUGAUAAAAUUUAUAAUAAAAAAGGCGUUGUGCGAACGGGCUCGUCAAAGAUGUCGUGGAUUUGCUGUACCCUGCUUUUGCUGAUGAGUUUCAACGUAUCAGUAUUGUCCUACCCAGGAUGGUACGAAAAUGCACCUGUUCCUGGUUACUAUGGCAACGGGUACCCACCCAUAGUGGUGAAAUCGGACGACAGUUUAAAGAGCAUCCUACCCCUGGUCCUCCUCCUCCUCAUGGAUGGUGGUGGUCAAGGGUGUGGUUGUAAUUGUGAUGAUGGACCCAUACCUAUGCCGUUUCCUAUACCUAUACCAAUUAACAGUCCUGUGAUAAUGUCGUAAGAGUCAAUAAUAUAGAUGUCUGUUUUGUUGUUGAAUAAAGAUUUUUAACAAUU